CGAAGCCUGGAAGCUAUUUUCUUGGAAUAUCAUAUAAUGGAAUUGACAACAUUACUUUGUUGUCCUUUAUGAACUUAUCAAAUAUAAAAUGUGUGGCAGGACAUUAUUGCAUUUAUUAAGGCUGGUGGUUUUCACUAAUUUUAGGAUGGAAGUUUCAAAGCUCAACCAACUAGAGAGUGUGUAACAAAAAUCUUAACAAGAUUUUAGGAGAAGAUCUAAGAGCCAGAUUAGAAUUGUUGUUGGAGCUUCUCGGAUCUACAAAGUACAAACCUUAAACUAAUUGAUCUACAGGAAAAAUAUUCUAUUCUUAUUGAGUUUAUUUAGUCAAGUCAGAUGUAUUUUAAGCAAGGUUUUAUGGUGGUUAUAUAAGGAUUUACAAUGCAGGAAAGGGAAGCCAAAGAUAUAGUGGUUCCAGACAUCAAAUGGGAUGUAUUUGAAUUGAUGAAGAUGUGCAAUUUCUACAAUUUAUAUAUGAUGCAAUUUUAUUCGACAAUGAUGUGCUGCUGUGUUUAGCAAAUGCUAAUAUUCUGAAACACUAAAUUGAUCUUUUUAUUGGUGCUUUUCUGAGCAGUUUUUAAUUUAAAAUAGACAAAAGAAAAUGGAAAAUAAAUGAUGACAUUGUAUAGAUGUGUUGAAUGCUGAAA